AACGCACAUUGCGCCCUUUGGUAUUCCGAAGGGCAUGCCUAUUCGAGCGUCAUUAUCACCACUCAAGCCCGGCUUGUUAUUGGGUCUUCUGUCGUUAAGGACAGGCCCGAAAGAUAAUGGCGGUGUCAAGAAUGACCCCAGGUGCAGCGAGCUCAUACAGCAUACACUGAGGUGGUUACCUUGGCCCGGCCUUCGUUUUGGUUAAACAAAACACUUUUUUCAAAGGUUGACCUCGGAUUAGGUAGGAAUACCCGCUGAACUUAA
rnacentral:misc_RNA from 1 species